UGCUUAGGCACUGGUGAUUACCCUGAGCAGUAUUGUUUUAAAAUGGAUUGAACGAGAGAGUUUGAUCCUGGCUCAGAUUGAACGCUGGCGGCAUGCCUAACACAUGCAAGUCGAACGGUAGCAGGCCUUCGGGUGCUGACGAGUGGCGGACGGGUGAGUAAUGCGUAGGAAUCUGUCUUUUAGUGGGGGACAACCCAGGGAAACUUGGGCUAAUACCGCAUGAGCCCUGAGGGGGAAAGCGGGGGAUCUUCGGACCUCGCGCUAAGAGAAGAGCCUACGUCUGAUUAGCUAGUUGGUAGGGUAAAGGCCUACCAAGGCGACGAUCAGUAGCUGGUCUGAGAGGACGACCAGCCACACUGGGACUGAGACACGGCCCAGGCUCCUACGGGAGGCAGCAGUGGGGAAUUUUUCGCAAUGGGGGCAACCCUGACGAAGCAAUGCCGCG
rnacentral:rRNA from 1 species